rnacentral:rRNA from 1 species
UACGUAGGGGACAAGCGUUGUCCGGAAUUAUUGGGCGUAAAGAGCGCGUAGGCGGUCCGAUAAGUCGGCUGUGAAAGUCAGGGGCUCAACCCUUGAAAGCCGGCCGAUACUGUCGGACUAGAGUCCGGAAGAGGCAAGUGGAAUUCCCGGUGUAGCGGUGAAAUGCGCAGAUAUCGGGAGGAACACCAAUGGCGAAGGCAGCUUGCUGGGACGGUACUGACGCUGAGGCGCGAAAGCGUGGGGAGCAAACAGG